UGGUAACAGGGAACCUGAACGAAGGACA
rnacentral:piRNA from 1 species